CAGGAAGCCUAUCUGCUCAUUCUG
rnacentral:siRNA from 1 species